rnacentral:rRNA from 1 species
UUUCGCAAUGCCCGAAAGGGUGACGAAGCGACGCCGCGUGCGGGAAGAAGGCCUUCGGGUUGUAAACCGCUGUCGGGAGUUAAGAAAUGCAAGGGUGUUAACAGCAUCCUUGCUUGACUAAGGCUCCGGAGGAAGCCACGGCUAACUCUGUGCCAGCAGCCGCGGUAAUACAGAGGCGGCAAGCGUUGUUCGGAAUUAUUGGGCGUAAAGAGCACGUAGGCGGCUGUGUAAGUCGGUUGUGAAAGCCUUCCGCUCAACGGGAGAACGGCAUCCGAUACUGCAUAGCUUGAGUGCGGGAGGGGAGAGUGGAACUUCUGGUGGAGCGGUGAAAUGCGUAGAUAUCAGAAGGAACACCGGCGGCGAAGGCGACUCUCUGGCCCGUAACUGACGCUAAGUGUGCGAAAACUAGGGGAGCAAACGGGAUUAGAUACCCCGGUAGUCCUAGCCGUAAACGAUGGGCACUAAGUAGAGGGGUUUU